rnacentral:rRNA from 1 species
GACGAACGCUGGCGGCGUGCCUAAUACAUGCAAGUAGAACGCUGAAGGAGGAGCUUGCUCUUCUGGAUGAGUUGCGAACGGGUGAGUAACGCGUAGGUAACCUGCCUGGUAGCGGGGGAUAACUAUUGGAAACGAUAGCUAAUACCGCAUAACAGUAGAUGUUGCAUGACAUUUACUUAAAAGGUGCAAUUGCAUCACUACCAGAUGGACCUGCGUUGUAUUAGCUAGUUGGUGGGGUAACGGCUCACCAAGGCGACGAUACAUAGCCGACCUGAGAGGGUGAUCGGCCACACUGGGACUGAGACACGGCCCAGACUCCUACGGGAGGCAGCAGUAGGGAAUCUUCGGCAAUGGACGGAAGUCUGACCGAGCAACGCCGCGUGAGUGAAGAAGGUUUUCGGAUCGUAAAGCUCUGUUGUAAGAGAAGAACGAGUGUGAGAGUGGAAAGUUCACGCUGUGACGGUAUCUUACCAGAAAGGGACGGCUAACUACGUG